rnacentral:lncRNA from 1 species
GAAACUCUUCUUUGCAGGUUUAUAGCUUCUGAGGAAGCAGCAGAGGCAGCCUGUUCUCAGGACCAAACGCAAUAAUUAUAACGGCACUUGGAUGAUGAAUUAGUUGAUGAGUAUCGAGUGGUGCCUGUGAGCCCGUGAGCCCGUGAGCCCUCGCGUGUCCAGGCGGCCAGAUCUCGGGCCACAGUGGGGCUGUGGCACUGUGGAGGUGGCCCAGAACUGGGAUUCAAAGACCUAGAUGGAGAC